ACUAUCUUAGUAUAAACAAGUAUAGUUAGCUUCCAACUAAAAGGUUAAACCAACUUAAGAGAGUA
rnacentral:tRNA from 1 species